GCCCGGGUGGUGGAAUUGGCAGACACGCUAGACUUAGGAUCUAGUGCCGAAAGGUGUGCAGGUUCAAGCCCUGUCCCGGGUACCA
rnacentral:tRNA from 1 species